UAUGUAGGUGGCAAGCGUUGUCCGGAAUUAUUGGGCGUAAAGGGCGUGUAGGCGGGAUAAUAAGUCCGUUGUAAAAGUGCGGGGCUCAACCCCGUAAGGUCAAUGGAAACUGUUAUUCUUGAGUGCAGGAGAGGAAAGUGGAAUUCCCAGUGUAGCGGUGAAAUGCGUAGAUAUUGGGAGGAACACCAGUGGCGAAGGCGACUUUCUGGACUGUGUCUGACGCUGAGGCGCGAAAGCCAGGGGAGCGAACGGG
rnacentral:rRNA from 1 species